rnacentral:tRNA from 2 species
ACGGGCAUAGUAUAAUGGUAGUAUGCAGGUCUCCAAAACCUUUGGUCAGGGUUCGAAUCCUUGUGCCCGUGCUA